CGGGUGAGUAACGCGUGAGGAACCUGCCUCAAAGAGGGGGACAACAGUUGGAAACGACUGCUAAUACCGCAUAAGCCCACGGCUCGGCAUCGAGCAGAGGGAAAAGGAGUGAUCCGCUUUGAGAUGGCCUCGCGUCCGAUUAGCUAGUUGGUGAGGUAAUGGCCCACCAAGGCAACGAUCGGUAGCCGGACUGAGAGGUUGAACGGCCACAUUGGGACUGAGACACGGCCCAG
rnacentral:rRNA from 1 species